rnacentral:sRNA from 1 species
GUUUGCACUUAUCGGGGAAGGGUGAGAACCUUCGAUUAAGGUUCGACUCGAGCGAAAGCGAGAGAACGUUGCCAACGGCAACGGCCCGUAGGGUGAGGAGCGAAGCGACGAAUAAUCCUUCCCCUACCACCA